rnacentral:sRNA from 1 species
GAAGCGUUUCCGGUGGCGGCGGAGGCUGCACCGAGCCGGACCUGCGAGCAGCGCGGGCGGCAGCCCGGGGGAAGCGUCCGGGACCAUGUCUGGAGAACUACCACCAAACAUUAACAUCAAGGAACCUCGAUGGGAUCAAAGCACUUUCAUUGGACGAGCCAAUCAUUUCUUCACUGUAACUGACCCCAGGAACAUUCUGUUAACCAACGAACAACUAGAGAGUGCGAGAAAAAUAGUACAUGAUUACAGAAAAUGAAUUGUGGAGAGCAAAGUACAUCUAUGAUUCAGCUUUUCAUCCUGACACUGGUGAGAAGAUGAUUUUGAUAGGAAGAAUGUCAGCCCAGGUUCCCAUGAACAUGACCAUCACAGGUUGUAUGAUGACGUUUUACAGGUAUGUUAUGAAUAUGUAGCAACAGUGUGUUCACCAUUACAGAAGCUCAAAGUAUAUUUUUGUAUGUAAAUAAUUUUGUUGAAAUAAGUAUUACUUCAUAAGUAUAUGAAGUGACAAACAAGGUAUUUAGCUUGAUUGAAUCGUUCCGUAAUGUACUUAUGAAUCAAAACAUCAUGUUGAACUCCUUUAGUAUAUACCAUA